CCGGACCCUGCCGGCCGCAGUCCGAGCUCCUCAUCGGCUAGAGCGUGUAUCUUAAGACUCCACGGACCGCCACGAGGCAGCCGAAGGCGGGCCCGUUACCCGCCGGCUACCGGGAGCGAGCUGAGCGGCAGAAAAGGAAGAACGCCCGAGCACCAUGAUCCCUCUGGAGAAGCCGGGCAGCGGCGGCUCCUCCUUGGCUGCCACCUCAGGCUCGGGCCCGGCGAGUCGGAGUCAGAGCGCGCCGCGCCGGCUGCCGCCGCCCCAAACCCGCGGGCUGCUGACAGAGAUCCGCGCUGCCGUGCGCACUGAGCCUUUCCAGGACGGCUACACCUUGAGCCCUGGCCGAGAGCUGGGCAGGGGUAAGUUUGCAGUGGUGAGGAAAUGUAUAAAGAAAGAUUCUGGAAAAGAAUUUGCAGCCAAGUUCAUGAGAAAAAGAAGAAAAGGCCAAGACUGUCGGAUGGAAAUUAUUCAUGAGAUUGCUGUACUUGAACUAGCACAGGACAAUCCUUGGGUCAUUAAUUUACACGAAGUUUAUGAAACUCCAUCAGAAAUGAUCUUGGUUCUGGAAUAUGCUGCUGGAGGUGAAAUCUUUAACCAAUGUGUUGCAGACAGAGAAGAAGCUUUUAAAGAAAAAGAUGUUCAAAGACUCAUGAGACAGAUUUUAGAAGGUGUCCACUUUUUACACACUCAUGAUGUAGUUCAUCUAGAUUUGAAGCCUCAGAAUAUUCUGCUGACAAGUGACUCUCCAUUGGGUGACGUUAAGAUAGUUGAUUUUGGCCUUUCAAGAAUAAUGAAGAACAGUGAAGAGCUACGAGAAAUUAUGGGUACUCCUGAAUAUGUGGCUCCUGAAAUCCUUAGUUAUGAUCCUAUCAGCAUGGCAACAGAUAUGUGGAGCAUUGGAGUGUUAACCUAUGUCAUGCUUACAGGAAUAUCACCUUUCUUAGGUGAUAAUAAACAGGAAACAUUCUUGAACAUCUCACAGAUGAAUUUAAGUUAUUCUGAGGAAGAAUUUGAUGUUGUGUCUGAAACCGCUAUUGACUUCAUCAAGAGACUUUUAGUUAAGAAACCAGAAGAUCGAGCCACUGCUGAAGAAUGUCUAAAACACCCAUGGUUGACACAGAGCAGUAUUCAAGAUUCUUCUUUUAGGACGAAAGAGUCAUUAGAAGAAGCAAAUGCCUUCCAACAAGGUGAUUCUGUGCCUGAAAUUAAAGCAGAUACUGAGAAACCAGAAACCGAGGAAUCGCUUGUGACAGAGGAGUUAAUUGUAGUUGCUUCGUAUACUUUAGGACAAUGCAGACAGUCUGAAAAAGAGAAAAUGGAGCAAAAGGCCAUCUCCAAACGAUUUAAAUUUGAAGAACCUUUGCUACAAGAAAUUCCAGGAGAAUUUAUUUACUGAGCAGUAUUUCCCUUUAAAACUUUUAAGAUUUCUACAUUGAAAACAUUAUUAUUAUUUAUGGACCUCUGGCCAAAUGGUACAUGUACUAGAAGUGGAUAUCACAGUAUCACUGAUAUAAGCAAAAAUAAUUUUGUUAAACUUGUGGAGUUAGAUCAAUCAAGCCAGAUUUGUAGAAGUUGCCAACCUGAAGGUUAACAGCCUCCUGGGUCUCUGGGAUUACAGGUGUGAACCACCAUGCACAGCAGGAAACUAGCAUCUCCAAACAAGCUCUAAAAGGGGAAAGAGGUAACUCUGCCAUUCAGUGAAAACCCAUGGUCACAAAGUUAAGACUCAGGUAAGUCUUGAAAGAAGUAAAACAUAGUUUGAGGCAAAUAUAUUUAAAUAUUUUUCAUAGAAAUAGGGGAUAUGUGACCCCCCCCCAAAAAAAAAAUUGCUGUUGAGUGACACUUGUAUGUACUUGAUAGAUUUCUCCAGUUGUGAAGCCAGAAUCAUUUGAACUUUUUCAAAACUGUUUGGUAUUACAUUCAGAGUGAAUAUAUUUAAUGUAAUUACUCCAUUUAUUUUUAAAAAUGUUUUUUCUUUUAGUUAGCCAGUUUGCAUCCUUAGCUACUUUUGUUUUGGUACUGGGGAUUGAACCCAGGGACAACUUAACCACUGAGCUACAGACUGGCCUAGAUCUGCGAUCCUCCCAUCUCAGGCUCCAGAGCCACUGGCAUUACUGGCCCUUAGCUAUUUUUGUACCUUAAGUUUAUGGUGCUUUUUUUAAAAGCCCUCAGAAUAUACUUAUGAAGGUAUAUUGGUACUUUUUGGUUUACAUGUUAUAAAGAGAGCCUGAAGAGCCUUCACGUAUUAGACCAAAUAAAAUCUUUCUCUUAAUGACUUGCCAAGCAGCACUAUAUUCAUCUAAUGCUAUUAAUACUUAUUUUUCAAUGACCAAAUUUAUAAAGGACUAAACAGUACUGUUAGUUUAUUGAUACAGUUUAUAAACCCAGUUUUAAUUAUAAUUAACAACAGGAUACUUCAGUGUGAUGAGAUCUUUAUGAAAAAUGUAAAAUGUGUAACUUUUAUUUAGAAAAAAAAAAAUUGGGGGCAGGUACCAGGGAUUUUUAGGGGGACUAGGGUUCAUUUUAGGAUUAAUGCAUAUUUAAUUUUUUUUAAGAGACUGCCCAACAGCUUUUUGGAGGGGAACUAAGGGGUACUUUACCAUUGAGCCACAUCCCUAACCCUAUUUUGUAUUUUAUUAGAGACAGGGUCUGACUGAGUUGCUUAGCGCCUCACUAAAUUCCUGAGGCUGGCUUUGAACUCAUGAUCCUCCUGCCUCCACCUCCUGAGCCCAGAGAUUACAGGUAUGCGCCACCGAACCCGGCCAGAAAAUUAUUCUUGUGUUUUGUCAUCGUUUUCCCAUGCAAAGUAGGAGAAAAUGCUGUUCUGUAGUUGUUACAAGAGGGAAGACAGAUGCUGAUUGUGGAUUCUCUUAAACUUUUUCAGCUGACCUCAGUUUGAAGGAAAAUUUAUUAGAGAGGAGGUUAUAAAGAUCACUUAGAUUCUGUUAGACAAGAGGUGAAUUACAGUUCUCAGUAGUGUGUGGGGUGUUAUGUGGCUCAGUGCAUAGAGGCCUCAGCUAUUUAGAAGUAAUAUAUAUCCUUACUGAACACCAAUAUGGACAGUUUUAUGUGGGGAAAAAUGAGCCCGAGUAUCAGCAAAUACAUUUUAAGUUCACAUUUGAAGAAAUUUGAAUUAGACUGAUAAAAUUAUAUUUUUAAUUAUUUGACUUUCGCUUCUGCUUUUACUCAGCUUCUCUGUGAGAUUCAUUUGCAUUGAUGGUUGGUUCUUUUUUAUUGCCGUGUAGUACUGUUUGAAUACACCACUGUUUACGCAUCUGUAUUUCUAUUCAUGAACCCCUGAACUGUCUUAGUUUUGAGCUAUUAUGAAUAAACUGCUAUAAAUGUUUUUGAA